rnacentral:lncRNA from 1 species
UGCCUAUAAAAUGCAUCCUUUUGGCAGCAUUAGCCUUGGAAAGAUGAAACUCCUCAAAUAAUAAAAGUUCAAAAGGGGAGGGUUGGAUUUGUGAGGGGACAGCAAUUAAGGAUGAAUUUUUUUUUUUGGUUUUUCUGCCAAAUGUCCUAGGGUCUCUUACUCGUUAACUAAUCCAACCAGCAAGCCUCAUCGGUUUCCUCUAGUCCCCCCUCUUCCCUUUCUAUUCCAUACUUUUUCUGUCAUAGUUCCCUUGCCUGGGCAAUGGAAGCUAGGAUACAGAACAGAAACCCUAGGUGGCGCCCCGUGUCCAUGUUUAGAGCGUGGCGCUGCGCCUCCAGAUGCACCCGCAGAAGCACGGUGUGGGUCCCCAGGUUGUGAGAGCUCUGAACAGGCGUUUUAAUAAAUAAGCGGUGAGUGCCAGCGCGCGCAAUGAGUCCAGAGGUUCGGAGCAGCAGACACAUGAACCCAGGCGGGUUGCUUCUCUUCAAACCUUGCCAAGAUCUGACCUUUCCCAGGCUCGGGAUUCCCAAAUAUUUUGCCUAAGCCAGCAAAAUCCUGUGCCUUUUUCUUCUUUGCGACCCCCCCCCCCCCUUCAAUUCUCCUCUACUUCCCUUUUUUGAAAACAGACAAUAUCUUUAUUAUGAAAGUUGUCCUACAAUUCAGGGUUAAAACUUGGAGUGGAUUUGAAAACGGAAAAAAGGAAUCGGAAAGGAAUGAGAGAACUGAAUCUACUUGUGCCUUUCUGGGGGACGGCUUUAAAAAUAGAGCACCUUCUGGGAGGAUUUUGAUCCGAGUACUUUGGUGAGAGUCGGACCCUGGGGUUGCCGGGAGGGGCUGGGGCUGGGAGGUGGGAGGAGGAGGCGGUGGCUACCAACAGAGUCGAUGCUGAUGCUGCUACUGCAGGGCGUUUGCCAGCUGUUCUCAAUGCAGUCAGGAAACUGGAGGGACUGGCCCUUGGAGAAAACUGAAGAGGGGGUUCCGGAGCAGAUGAGCUACCUGGGCAUGUUGCGGGGAGCUCGGGGCCGGUUGGAAAAAGACCAGAGCACCAUUUCGGCUCAUUUUCUCUAA